CCAGACUCCUACGGGAGGCAGCAGUGAGGAAUAUUGGUCAAUGGGCGGAAGCCUGAACCAGCCAAGUCGCGUGAGGGAAGAAGGCCCUGCGGGUCGCAGACCUCUUUGGACGGGGAGCAAGGCCGCCGACGUGUCGGCGGAAGGAGAGUACCCGUAGAACAAGCAUCGGCUAACUCCGUGCCAGCAGCCGCGGUAAUACGGAGGAUGCGAGCGUUAUCCGGAUUUAUUGGGUUUAAAGGGUGCGUAGGCGGGACCUUAAGUCAGCGGUAAAAUUGCGGUGCUCAACGCCGUAGAGCCGUUGAAACUGGGGCUCUUGAGUGAGCGAGAAGUAUGCGGAAUGCGUGGUGUAGCGGUGAAAUGCAUAGAUAUCACGCAGAACCCCGAUUGCGAAGGCAGCAUACCGGCGCUCAACUGACGCUGAGGCACGAAAGUGCGGGUAUCGAACAGGAUUAGAUACCCGAGUA
rnacentral:rRNA from 1 species